AUUGAACGCUGGCGGCAUGCCUUACACAUGCAAGUCGAACGGUAACAGGUCUUCGGAUGCUGACGAGUGGCGAACGGGUGAGUAAUACAUCGGAACGUGCCCGAUCGUGGGGGAUAACGGAGCGAAAGCUUUGCUAAUACCGCAUACGAUCUACGGAUGAAAGCAGGGGACCGCAAGGCCUUGCGCGGACGGAGCGGCCGAUGGCAGAUUAGGUAGUUGGCGGGAUAAAAGCGUACCAAGCCGACGAUCUGUAGCUGGUCUGAGAGGACGACCAGCCACACUGGGACUGAGACACGGCCCAGACUCCUACGGGAGGCAGCAGUGGCGAAUUUUGUACAAUGGGCGCGAGCCUGAUCCAGCCAUGCCGCGUGCAGGAUGAAGGCCUUCGGGUUGUAAACUGCUUUUGUACGGAACGAAACGGCCCUUUCUAAUAAAGGGGGCUAAUGACUGUACCGUAAGAAUAAGCACCGGCUAACUACGUGCCAGCAGCCGCGGUAAAAC
rnacentral:rRNA from 1 species